UAUUUAAUCAUUGCUUCACUUUCGAAGUUUUUCCUGAUAUCUGGAAGUUUGCGAUUAUUUGUUCCGAUUCCAAAAUGUAAAAUGUUCAUCCAGAAGGAACCAUUUCACACAGACUGCACUACUCUGAGAGUCAUGGAUCAUAUCCGACAAGCUGCUGAUAAGACAAAGGUCACUAUUGCGAUGUUCUUUGACUUUAUUACAUGGUCUUCGAUAUUCCAUCUGUCAUCACAUAUUGAUCAACAAAUUCAAUGACAUGGGUUUUUCAUCGUCUGUACUCUGCUGGAUUUGUGCGUAUCUAUAGUGUAUAUAGAUUUCAGAACGUGCAUGAUUCGAUCACGAGUGGCAUUGUCGAUGUAGUCGAUUGGCAAUGAGAAACUACUGUCUUCUACACUGUUUCUGCAAGAGACCGAUCUCGAGAAACAACAGUUGAAGGUUAAGAAAUAAAUAAACGAAUCCUCGCGGAGAUCGUGCGACCAAAUUUUCAAGUUUUCUUCCGUUAACGAGCAUUGCCUAUGCUACUGCUUUCGAAAGUAUCAAAUUUGUGAAUUAAAGUAUAAAUAAAAUUAUAAGAUUAA